rnacentral:rRNA from 1 species
CUACGGGUCGCUGCAGUGGGGAAUAUUGCACAAUGGAGGGAACUCUGAUGCAGCAACGUCGCGUGGAGGAUGACACAUUUCGGUGCGUAAACUCCUUUUAUAUAAGAAGAUAAUGACGGUAUUAUAUGAAUAAGCACCGGCUAACUCCGUGCCAGCAGCCGCGGUAAUACGGGGGGUGCAAGCGUUACUCGGAAUCACUGGGCGUAAAGAGCAUGUAGGCUGGUUUGUAAGUUGGAAGUGAAAUCCUAUGGCUUAACCAUAGAACUGCUUCCAAAACUACUUACCUAGAGUAUGGGAGAGGUAGAUGGAAUUUCUGGUGUAGGGGUAAAAUCCGUAGAGAUCAGAAGGAAUACCGAUUGCGAAGGCGAUCUACUGGAACAUUACUGACGCUCAGAUGCGAAAGCGUGGGGAGCAAACAGGAUUAGAUACCCGUGUAGUC